rnacentral:rRNA from 1 species
AUGGCCUCCCAGGCGUGCAGCCUCCCGAUCCACACCGCGCCCUCCCCCAACGCCAAGCCCCUGGACGACGACGACCUCCGCCUGCGCAGACGCCGUCGCCGCUGCCGUUGCAUCUGCGCCCUGGUCACCCUCGUCGUGCUCCUGCUGCUGGGCGUGACCCUCCUGGUCCUCUUCCUCACCGUGCUCCGCGUGCGCGACCCCAGCACGCGCGUGCUCUCCGCCCGCUUCGUCGGCCCCGUCCCCAGCCUCGCCCAGCCCAACUUCACCGUGCAGCUCACCGCGGCCGUGCACAACCCCAACAGGGUCACCUUCUCCUACGCCUCCGCCACCGCCGAGCUCUGGUACCGGGGCACCCACGUCGGGGACGCCCAGGUCGACCCCGGCCGCAUCCCUGGCAGGGGGGACGAGACCGUGCAGCUGGACAUGACGGUGCUCACCGCCAGCUUCACCAAGGACAUGGCGCAGCUGAUCAAGGACAUCGAGGCCGGGACGCUGCCGCUGGACGCGAACGCGAGGAUCCAGGGGAGGGUGGCCAUCUUCGGCGUGUUCAAGCUCAGCGUGGUGGCCUACUCCGACUGCCACGUCGUCGUCGGAUUCCCGAGCAUGGACAUCCGAAGCCAGGAGUGCCACGACCACGCUAAGCUCUGA